GUAUCUUGCGGGAGAUCCCUGUGUACCUGAGGCCUUCUGAAGACCCUUGCUGAUGCCAGAGGCUGGAACACUUCCUUGGCUUGGAUGCUUUUCUAGUGUGGAGUCCUGUUGUAUGCUUUAAGGAAAGCAGCGUAAGAGAUAAGUGACUGGUGUAUCGGGGAUCUUGAACCAAAAUUUGCUGAAGUAAAUGGAAAGGCUCCCAUCAUCUGUAGUCAAUUUAGGGACCAGGCCCAGAAUGGCAAAGCUGCUGUUAGAAGAUCAUUUUUUUUGCAAAAUGUAAUAAUGGGGACAUCUGUAGAACUUGUGAAACUGAGUGUAGCUGUCCAUAAAAUGUCUACAUUCUGUAGGUGUGAGGGCCUGGGAAUGCUUUGUGCUUCAUCCAUCUGCUUCUUCAUUAGCUCCAGCUUUGAAAUAAAAUCACACAUCUUUAGUAGGCUGGGAACCAGAUGACAGUAAGAGUAGAAUCUACUAUCUGAAAUAACCUUGCUGCUGCUUUUUUUUAAAAAAUUUUUUGGCUUCUUAUGUGCAGUAAAUAAUUUGCUUGCAUUUUCUAUUCUUGUGCUAUCUCAAGAAAAUAGUUUAUAUACUGUAUGUUAGAUAUAAAUACUUUGCAUUUCAUACUGUCGUAAUAGUACAGUAUUUACCUUUUCUUUAUCCCUGUUGUUUUUUUAAAGAUUGACGGACCUGCAUCAUAUAGCUCAUUUAAUGCCUGAUGUACUCUUUGAUUACAAACAUCAUUUCUGUGGUGUGUUUGCAAAGGAUUAUUUCUUAAAUCUAUGUCAUAAGUAUAUUGGAAAUAAAAUGCAAAUCGUGGAUCACAGACAAAUUGGUUCCCAGGUGAAUCUUUUAAUGAUAUUGAUGAAAAUGUUGCUUACUUUACCAUUCACUGGAAAUAAAUCUUAACUGAAACGAUCAGCGUUUCUCACAAACACUGUCAGCUCUUAGUUUUCCUCAAAACU